GUGAAUACAUAGCAUAUCAGAAGGCACACCCGGAGAACUGAAACAUCUUAGUACCCGGAGGAAGAGAAAGAAAAUUCGAUUCCCUUAGUAGCGGCGAGCGAAACGGGAAGAGCCCAAACCAACAAGCUUGCUUGUUGGGGUUGUAGGACACUCUAUACGGAGUUACAAAGGACGACAUUAGACGAAUCAUCUGGAAAGAUGAAUCAAAGAAGGUAAUAAUCCUGUAGUCGAAAAUGUUGUCUCUGUUGAGUGGAUCCCAAGAUCAACGGAUCUCUUGAAAUUCCGGCGGAAAAAAGGAGGACAAUAUCCUAAGGCUAAAUUCACUCUAGUGCCGGGAAGUUAAACAAGACCGUUAAGGAAAGAUGAAAAGGACCCCGGAAGGGGAGUAAAAUAGAACUUGACACCGUGUGCUUACAAGUAGUCAUAGCCAGUUAAUGGGUGAUGGGGUGGCUUUUUUAGAAUGAACCGGCGAGUUACGAUUUGAUGAAAGGUUAAGCUUUAAAUGUGGAGCCGUAGCGAAAGCGAGUCUGAAUAGGGCGUUUAGAAUUUGGUCGUAGGCCCGAAACCAGGUGAUCUACCCUUGGUCAGGUUGAAGUUCAGGUAACACUGAAUGGCGGACCGAACCGACUUUCGUUGAAAAGUGUGCGGA
rnacentral:rRNA from 1 species